rnacentral:rRNA from 1 species
GACGAACGCUGGCGGCGUGCCUAAUACAUGCAAGUCGAGCGGGUUUAUCCUUCGGGGUAAACUAGCGGCGGACGGGUGAGUAACACGUAGGUAACCUGCCUUUAAGACUGGGAUAACUAUCGGAAACGAUAGCUAAGACCGGAUAACCGGUUUUCUCGCAUGAGAGAAUCGUAAAACACGGAGCAAUCUGUGGCUUAGAGAUGGGCCUGCGGCGCAUUAGCUUGUUGGUGAGGUAACGGCUCACCAAGGCGACGAUGCGUAGCCGACCUGA